AAGAAAGAAAGAAAAGAAAGGGAGGAAAGAAAGAAAGACAGGCAGCCAAGAGGUCCUGUCCUGGUCCCCGCAAUGCACUGUGUGAUGUGGGGCAAGUCACUUUCCCUCUGAGACUCACUUGUCUUUGAAAUAAAAAGGUAGUAGGAUUAGAUACUCUCUAAAGCCCAUCUAGCUGGUAGUCUAUGGACAUAAAUAGAAAGACAAGGUGCACCUAACUGUGGGAGAAGAGCAGGGAUCAGCAGACGGGGUCCCAAAUGGGCAGUGCAAUGGAUCGAUGCUGAGGCGGAGGCCCUCCUGGAGAAGCAGUCCACAGUCACAUAAUUAGGACACGCACAUAAUUAGGAAGUAGGCAGUCUGGAACCCCUGCACUGUCCUACCUCCUGUCUACUUGACUAGAACAGUGCGUCCAUCCCCAGGAGACUCGAUGCCCUAGACUGUCCUCCCAGACCUGGCCUCCUCAGCCAGUGGUUUUCAAAUUCCAAUGAGCACAGGAGCCUCAGGCCCCAUAUCCAGAGAUUCUGGUUUUGGACUGUGCAGAUCAUUAGACCAUAUUUUGAGAAACCCUAUGACAAUGACUUCUGUUCUAGAUCUAUAGUGGCUGCUCCCACUGGUGAAUAAACUGAUUUGCACUGAGAUGUUAGUGGCUAAUAAUGUUUUGACAUGUCUCCCUCAAGGAGCAUUUGCAGAAACAGAGUUCAGAAAGUGACAGACUACCAGGGGUAGAAGCGGGAGUAGUUUGGGGACAGAGUGUCCCUCUGUCAGCUCUUAAAUUAUAGUCCUUAAACAAUCCUGGGUGACCCGAUGGGGGGGUGCCCACGAAUCAAAGAGGAAUCUGGGCAGGAGUGCUACAGAGGCAGCGGACAAAGCCACUCGGGGACAUCUGCGGGGAGCAGAUGGGUUGGGUCAUAUGCUGUUUCAGGUCCACGUCAUCUUGAGGGCAUUUUGAGCAGAGAACAUCUUCGUUUCAUUCCAGCGCUACUUCAUCCUGUAUUCAAGGCUGCUGUAAUAGGAUAAUGGCCCCAUUUCAACCCACCAAGUACAAAGUCAUCUACAACUGUGCCAAGACUUAGAUUUCCGGAAUGAAUUCAGGUCCUCACACUCUUCCACUAUUAAUGCUAACCCAUCUUCUCCACCAGAGAAAUUGCUGCAGGGACCAGACACCCAGAAAGGGAACAGCUGGGCAGCAGACAUUUCCAAGGCCGUCAGCUGCUCUGCCAGCUUGUCUCUCCCUCCUUCUCACAAACACCCUGCUGAGAGCCAGAGGAGCAGCCUCAUGAGGGCAAUAAGGGGGCUAAGAGGGGUGCAAGUGGGUCAGUGAUCCCUAAACUACCCAGAAAAGCCAAGGAGGGAUGGGGUGGCAAGCACGUGCAGCUUAGGAAGGAUCCUGAGUAAUUCUCACACACUCUUGAGCUCAACCCACUUGAAAUCCCUGAAAGUAGGUGACCCGAAGUCCCUUCAAGUUCAAAAAUGCCAGACCUCUGUGCAUGGCCUCUCUGGUCACCCAGCACCACUCAGGCUUCUGGAAGGCAGCUGUGCAAGGCUGGCCAAAGCAGCCAACUUCAGUUUCCUUAUCUCUAGAAGUGAAGAGCUCUCCAGCCUGGAGAUAAUCCAGCAGAGUGUGGAUGUGGCUAGAAAGAGAAACAGGGAUCCAGCCAUGAAGGGCCUUUGAAGGAUUUUCUUGGGAACAUGCAGUACAUCCUGAAAAGUUCUGGGAGGCAGGCAAAACCAAGAUGGGCUCUGGAUUCAAACUACCUGGUUUUCCAUCCUGCCUCCAUCACUUACCAGCUGGGCCGCAAUCUACACAAGAACCACGCUCCUCGUCUAUAAAACGGCGAUAGCUACGAUGCUUGGGCCACAGCAUGUGGCUGAGGUGAGGCACAGGCCUUGUUGACUGAUCUGACAUCCGCACGGGGUGGGGAGGAGCUGGGCCUGGCCCCUGAGUUCUCCUGUUCCACUAACAGUUACUGAGCAUCUACCAGGUGCCAAGGCCCGAGCAUACAGCUGAGAACAGAAACAGAUGUGCCGUCACAGAGCUUCCACUCUAGCGGGAAGGGAAUAAAUAAGCAAUUAAGCAUAGGACUUGAUGUCAAGGGACAAUAAGAGGAAAAUAUGGGAAGAGAAAGGAGAGAGUGUGUCUGGGAUGGAGGACAAGGCAGAUUGUUUCUGUUGGGUAGUGCCGAGGAGGUGACAUUUGAGCAGAGAACUGAGUAAGGUAAGGAGACAAGCUGUGGAAAUAAGAUGUGGGGGAAGGGAACUUUCUAGACAGAGGGAAGAGCAAAUGCAAAGGCCCUGGGGUCGAAUGAGCAUGCUUAUCUUAGAGGGUGAGCAGAGGGGAGACAGAUGAAGGAAGGAGACAGAAAAUUAGCAAGAGGCCAGGUCAGUUAGGACCUCUAGGCCAAUGAGAGGCUUUCAAUUUUGUUCCUGAGUGUGACAGGAAAUCACGAAAGGGUUUUGAGCAGGGAAGGGGCAUGACCUAGGACCUGCAGAGGGCUCCCAAUGCUGGGUGGGGAGAGACUGAGGGCAGAGCAGGGACACAGAUGAGGAGGGCUGUCACAGCUCAGGUGAGGGAGGAUAGUGGCCUGGACCAGGGUAACGGUCCAGAUGAUGGGAAAAUAUAAGAAUUGGGAUGUGUUUGGAAGGUAAGACUAACAGGAAUGGCUCGUGGUUUGAGACACGGCUCGUGAUAUGAGAGAGGAAGCAAGGAGAGCUCCCAAAGUCUGUGUGGGUGACCGGUGAUCGGUGGUGCCCUGCUGCUACUGAGCUUUUCUAAGUUGCCUGUUAUCCAUGAGGACCACUGUUCUACUACCUUCCCUACCUGGGAUUUUCCAAGCAGAUGGGUAGUUAUCUAUCUAUCUAUCUAUCUAUCUAUCUAUCUAUCUAUCUAUCUGUCAUCUAUCUAUCAUCUAUCUAUCUAAGAGUGAGUUAGGGCCCCUGGGUGGCUCAGUGAUUGAGUG